rnacentral:rRNA from 1 species
UACGAAGGGUGCAAGCGUUACUCGGAAUUACUGGGCGUAAAGCGCACGUAGGCGGCUUUUGUAAGUUAGAGGUGAAAGCCCAGGGCUUAACCCUGGAAUUGCCUUUAAGACUGCAUCGCUAGAAUUGUGGAGAGGUAAGUGGAAUUCCGAGUGUAGAGGUGAAAUUCGUAGAUAUUCGGAGGAACACCAGUGGCGAAGGCGGCUCACUGGUCCAUUACUGACGCUGAGGUGCGAAAGCGUGGGGAGCAAACAGGAU